rnacentral:rRNA from 1 species
AAGGUAGCAUAAUAAUUUGUUUCUUAAUUAGAUACUGGUAUGAACGAUAAUAUAUUUAACUAUUUCUUUAAAUUUUAAAAAAAUAAUUUAGGGUUUAAGUUAAAACACUUAAAUUUUUAAAAAAGACGAUAAGACCCUAAAAGCUUUAUUUUUAUUAAAAGUUUAAUUUAAAUUAACUUUUAGAAAAAAAUUUUACUGGGGUAGUAAAAAAUUAGUUUUUUUUUUGUAAAACAUAGAGGUUUUAAAUUCCUUAAUAUUAGGAUUGCAGAUAAGUUACUUUAGGGAUAACAGCGUAAUAGUGUUGAAAAGAACAUAUUUAUAAUACUGAUUACGACCUCGAUGUUGAAUUAAUUAAUCUUUUUAAAGCAGAAUUUAAAUAAGAAGGUUUGUUCAACCUUUAAUUAAUUACAUGAUCUGAGUUCAAACCGG